CACGUAGGGGACGAGCGUUGUCCGGAUUCAUUGGGCGUAAAGCGCGCGUAGGCGGCUCGGAAAGUCGGGCGUGAAAUGCCGGGGCUCAACCCCGGGACUGCGUCCGAUGCUUCCGAGCUGGAGGUAGGUAGGGGAGAUCGGAAUUCCUGGUGUAGCGGUGAAAUGCGCAGAUAUCAGGAGGAACACCGGUGGCGAAGGCGGAUCUCUGGGCCUUACCUGACGCUGAGGCGCGAAAGCUAGGGGAGCGAACAGG
rnacentral:rRNA from 1 species